rnacentral:rRNA from 1 species
AUGGUAUUGAGUGUUCCAAUAUCAAACUUCACAUUCAUUGCACCUAAUUUCUGGAACAUGGCGAUCGCUUCGUCUGCACAAUUAUUUCUACAAAGGCCUUUAAGUAUUAUAUUGUAUACGGGAAUGUCCACUGUCGUUUCACUUUCGAUCAUCUCAUGGAACAUUUUCCUUGCAACGACAGUUCUUGCAGCAUGA